GACGAACGCUGGCGGCGUGCUUAACACAUGCAAGUCGAACGGAAAGGCCCUGCUUUUGUGGGGUGCUCGAGUGGCGAACGGGUGAGUAACACGUGAGUAACCUGCCCUUGACUUUGGGAUAACUUCAGGAAACUGGGGCUAAUACCGGAUAGGAGCUCCUGCUGCAUGGUGGGGGUUGGAAAGUUUCGGCGGUUGGGGAUGGACUCGCGGCUUAUCAGCUUGUUGGCGGGGUAGUGGCUUACCAAGGCUUUGACGGGUAGCCGGCCUGAGAGGGCGACCGGCCACAUUGGGACUGAGAUACGGCCCAGACUCCUACGGGAGGCAGCAGUGGGGAAUAUUGCACAAUGGGCGGAAGCCUGAUGCAGCAACGCCGCGUGCGGGAUGACGCCCUUCGGGUUGUAAACCGCUUUCGCCUGUGACGAAGCGUGAGUGACGGUAAUGGGUAAAGAAGCACCGGCUAACUACGUG
rnacentral:rRNA from 1 species